rnacentral:rRNA from 1 species
AACGAACGCUGGCGGCAUGCCUAACACAUGCAAGUCGAACGAAGGCUUCGGCCUUAGUGGCGCACGGGUGCGUAACGCGUGGGAAUCUGCCCUUAGGUUCGGAAUAACAGCUGGAAACGGCUGCUAAUACCGGAUGAUAUCGCGAGAUCAAAGAUUUAUCGCCUGAGGAUGAGCCCGCGUUGGAUUAGGUAGUUGGUGGGGUAAAGGCCUACCAAGCCGACGAUCCAUAGCUGGUCUGAGAGGAUGAUCAGCCACACUGGGACUGAGACACGGCCCAGACUCCUACGGGAGGCAGCAGUGGGGAAUAUUGGACAAUGGGCGAAAGCCUGAUCCAGCAAUGCCGCGUGAGUGAUGGAGGCCCUAGGGUUGUAAAGCUCUUUUACCCGGGAAGAUAAUGACUGUACCGGGAGAAUAAGCCCCGGCUAACUCCGUGCCAGCAGCCGCCGUAAGAC